AUACGUAGGGGGCAAGCGUUGUUCGGAAUCACUGGGCGUAAAGGGCGUGUAGGCGGCCCGCUAAGUCUGAUGUGAAAGCCCGGGGCUCACCCCCGGAAGUGCAUUGGAAACUGGCGGACUCGAGUCCCGGAGAGGAGGGUGGAAUUCCUGGUGUAGCGGUGAAAUGCGUAGAUAUCAGGAGGAACACCGGUGGCGAAGGCGGCCCUCUGGACGGUACUGACGCUGAGGCGCGAAAGCGUGGGGAGCGAACA
rnacentral:rRNA from 1 species